rnacentral:rRNA from 1 species
CUGGUUGAUCCUGCCAGUAGUCAUAUGCUUGUUUCAAGGACUAAGCCAUGCAUGCCUCAGAAUAUCUGCAUUUGCAGGAAUCUGCGCAUGGCUCAUUACAUCAGACGUAAUCUGCCGCAAAAACUGUGCGGUUCCGCCGCAUCAUCGGAUACCUUGGGGAAACCCCAAGCUAAUACGUGAACUACCGAGCGUUCUCCACCCAAUGCAGCGGGCAACCGUUGUAGCGAGACGUUCAGCGAAUGAAUGAAAGUAAAACCAACGCCAGCCUGGCUGGCAGCAACACCCAGAAGUGUUGACUCAAUUCAUUCUGCGGAAGCCGAGCAAUCGGCGUCUUUUGACGAACAACUGCCCUAUCAGCCAGUGAUGGCCGUGUAGUGGACUGCCAUGGCGUUGACGGGAGCGGGGGAUUAGGGUUCGAUUCCGGAGAGGGAGCCUGAGAAAUAGCUACCACUUCUACGGAGGGCAGCAGGCGCGCAAAUUGCCCAAUGUCGAUAAAAACGAUGAGGCAGCAAAAAGAAAUAGGUCUCCCAGCCGGCUUUCAGUCGGUUGGGAGGUUCAAUGGGAAAUAUUUACAUCUCUUAUCGAGUAACGAUUGGAGGGCAAGUCUGGU